AACGAACGCUGGCGGCAUGCCUAACACAUGCAAGUCGAACGAGACCUUCGGGUCUAGUGGCGCACGGGUGCGUAACGCGUGGGAAUCUGCCCUUCGGUUGGGAAUAACUGAGAGAAAUUUCAGCUAAUACCUUAUAAUGUCUUCGGACCAAAGAUUUAUCGCCGAGGGAUGAGCCCGCGUAGGGUUAGGUAGUUGGUGGGGUAAUGGCCUACCAAGCCGACGAUCCUUAGCUGGUCUGAGAGGAUGAUCAGCCACACUGGGACUGAGACACGGCCCAGACUCCUACGGGAGGCAGCAGUGGGGAAUAUUGGACAAUGGGCGAAAGCCUGAUCCAGCAAUGCCGCGUGAGUGAUGAAGGCCUUAGGGUUGUAAAGCUCUUUUACCCGGGAUGAUAAUGACAGUACCGGGAGAAUAAGCUCCGGCUAACUCCGUG
rnacentral:rRNA from 1 species